AGAUACAAGCGAGCGGCGGACGGGUGAGUAACACGUGGGUAACCUGCCCAAGAGACUGGGAUAACACCUGGAAACAGAUGCUAAUACCGGAUAACAACACUAGACGCAUGUCUAGAGUUUAAAAGAUGGUUCUGCUAUCACUCUUGGAUGGACCUGCGGUGCAUUAGCUAGUUGGUAAGGUAACGGCUUACCAAGGCAAUGAUGCAUAGCCGAGUUGAGAGACUGAUCGGCCACAUUGGGACUGAGACACGGCCCAAACUCCUACGGGAGGCAGCAGUAGGGAAUCUUCCACAAUGGACGCAAGUCUGAUGGAGCAACGCCGCGUGAGUGAAGAAGGGUUUCGGCUCGUAAAGCUCUGUUGGUAGUGAAGAAAGAUAGAGGUAGUAACUGGCCUUUAUUUGACGGUAAUUACUUAGAAAGUCACGGCCAACUACGUGCCAGCAGCCGCGGUAAUACGUAGGUGGCAAGCGUUGUCCGGAUUUAUUGGGCGUAAAGCGAGUGCAGGCGGUUCAAUAAGUCUGAUGUGAAAGCCUUCGGCUCAACCGGAGAAUUGCAUCAGAAACUGUUGAACUUGAGUGCAGAAGAGGAGAGUGGAACUCCAUGUGUAGCGGUGGAAUGCGUAGAUAUAUGGAAGAACACCAGUGGCGAAGGCGGCUCUC
rnacentral:rRNA from 1 species